rnacentral:lncRNA from 1 species
CUACGGGAAUACGUAGGAGACACGGGAUAUUGCCCACUGAGGGCGAGAAGAAUGUGUAUAAUGGUCUGGUUCGCCUUUUUGUCCGCUCAUAAAGUUCAUUUAUCUUUAAAUACUGAACGUAGGAUUUAAAACUUAGAGCUCCCAUCCAUGGCAACAUGUCUGCAGUUACCUCUCCUCGUGUAUCCUCUCAUAGAUGAAUAAAAAUGACAACAGAUCGGACAUGAAUUGAUCCAAUCAAUACCCAUAUGCAUCCCAUUAGAAAAAAAUUAUAUAUAUAUCCGCCCCAUAUCCAUAUCGGAUC